rnacentral:rRNA from 1 species
AUUGAACGCUGGCGGCAGGCCUAACACAUGCAAGUCGAGCGGAUGAAGGGAGCUUGCUCCUGGAUUCAGCGGCGGACGGGUGAGUAAUGCCUAGGAAUCUGCCUGGUAGUGGGGGAUAACGUCCGGAAACGGGCGCUAAUACCGCAUACGUCCUGAGGGAGAAAGUGGUGGAUCUUCGGACCUCACGCUAUCAGAUGAGCCUAGGUCGGAUUAGCUAGUUGGUGGGGUAAAGGCCUACCAAGGCGACGAUCCGUAACUGGUCUGAGAGGAUGAUCAGUCACACUGGAGCUGAGACACGGUCCAGACUCCUACGGGAGGCAGCAGUGGGGAAUAUUGGACAAUGGGCGAAAGCCUGAUCCAGCCAUGCCGCGUGUGUGAAGAAGGUCUUCGGAUUGUAAAGCACUUUAAGUUGGGAGGAAGGGCAGUAAGUUAAUACCUUGCUGUUUUGACGUUACCAACAGAAUAAGCACCGGCUAACUUCGUG